CCUUGCAAAGGAAGGGGUUGAACCAAACCGGCCUGAGUCAGUCAAAGGUCCCAGCACAAGCACUGCUGCCUCCUCUGCAAAGAGAGAACUUGUUAUAGAGGAUACCAGUGAAGAUGCUCCAUCGGCACAGCCACAAGCUGUUGUUCCCC